GGAUUAGAAUAGAGUGGUGCAAGUAACUGGGCUGCUGGGUGGAAAGAGACACCGCUCCUGCCCUUUCCCAAUCGUGUACUUUCCCACAGCUCUGUAGAAAAUGUUUCAGUGGGGUUGGGUGCCAGGGUAGGGAGAGCAGAGACAGUGAAUGGAAGUAGGAGCCCCAGGGACUGCCUUCUCCACGCUCCUGCUGCUUUUUGGCUCUGCCCCCAGGGCCUGACUACAUCCCCUUUCCCUGCAGAGUUACUCUGACUACUCAGUCUGUUCUCAGCAGAAACCACUUCCCUUUCCCUUGGCCUUGGGCUGGACCCACCCUCAGUGGUCAGAGCACUACUCUUUUUCCAUCCUGAAGCAUCAAUCCAGGCCAGAAGAGGACCACUGCUCUGUUAUGGUCUCAAGAGGCUGGGCUAGGUUCCUGGCGGGCUUCUGACUCUGCUGCCGGGAUACACUUGAAUAUGUACGAUGACUUUGGAGCUGGAGCCUUAGACAUGUCUCAGCUCCAGCUCAGGCCUAGCUAGUUCCUUUUGUCUAGGGAAUUGUGAAUCCCUGGAUUCCCUCCUGGACUUGAGAGAUGACCAGGUGUGUGGAAGUCAGAAGACAAAUGGCUUGCAGCAGUUGGUCCUGGGAUCAGCUCAGGCCGUCAGUCUUGGUGGCAAAUGUCUUUACCCACUGAGACAUCUCUCCAUCCCCACAUUCUUUCCUAUUUAGCCCAGACUGGCCUGGAACUCAUUAUAUAGCUCCAUCUGGCUUCAUACUUUGGACAGUCCUCCCACCUCUGCCUCCUGAUUGUGGGCACAUGCCACCAUGCCUGGCCUGUCUCACGGCCUUUGGAUCUCCUUUGGAUACAGUCUUCACUUCUCCUAAGGUCUCCUGUACCUGGCUUGCCUUGGCUGCUCUGACCACAAGUCUGCAAUCUUGCUAAUAAAACCACAAACCACUGGAAUUGAGAGCCAUCACUCAGCUGAGAACAACUUGUGAUACGGAUAAGAAGGCUGAGGCCCGGACAGGACCAGUGCCGCCCCUGAUCACACUGCAAGUCUCAGACUCCACGCCUUUGGUUCCUUUGUCCUCUGUACUGUGGGAGUUGCUGUUGCAUAGCUUAGAUUUUCUGGGCUAAGUGCUGACUUGGUGUAACUGUAGUCUGUUAAGUCAAUGGGAUUCAAAGAGUGGGACUACAUGUGAUUUUUAUUACUUUGUGACACCUUUCAAAUAAAUAAUUUACAGAUCAAAGAAGACAGUUUGGCUCAGAUCACGUUCUGGAAGCAUGGGGUUGAAAUGACCUGGAGAGUUCAGAAGACUCCAGCUGCCUGCCAGCAUCUAAACUGGAAAUUUCAGAACCAAAGUGACCCUUGUGCCUUGUUCCUGGCUACUCCAACCAGCAGGCCGUAUAAACCCAUCCAAAACCACUGUUUAAAAGCUGGAUGUGCUGCCGGGCGGUGGUGGCGCACGCCUUUAAUCCCAGCACUCGGGAGGCAGAGCCAGGCGGAUCUCUGUGAGUUCGAGGCCAGCGUGGUCUCCAAAGCGAGUUCCUGGAAAGGCGCAAAGCUACACAGAGAAACCCUGUC